rnacentral:rRNA from 1 species
AGCGAACGCUGGCGGCAGGCCUAACACAUGCAAGUCGAACGAACCUUUCGGGGUUAGUGGCGGCCGGGUGAGUAACACGUGGGAACGUGCCUUUAGGUUCGGCAUAACUCAGGGAAACUUGUGCUAAUACCGAAUGUGCCCUUCGGGGGAAAGAUUAAUCGCCUUUAGAGCGGCCCGCGUCUGAUUAGCUAGUUGGUUGAGGUAAUGGCUCACCAAGGCGACGAUCAGUAGCUGGUCUGAGAGGAUGAUCAGCCACAUUGGGACUGAGACACGGCCCAAACUCCUACGGGAGGCAGCAGUGGGGAAUCUUGCGCAAUGGGCGAAAGCCUGACGCAGCCAUGCCGCGUGAAUGAUGAAGGUCUUAGGAUUGUAAAAUUCUUUCACCGGGGACGAUAAUGACGGUACCCGGAGAAGAAGCCCCGGCUAACUUCGUG